GGCCCGAUUGUACAUUGGCGGCUUAAGCUAUGGCUUAGUUGAACCGGGUUCAAUUUUGAGCGUCGGUUUAACUUCAUUCGGGUUGUUCAAUGCCGAGUUCAGUUAAGCCGAGGUUCAUACAAAUUUUGGUAAGGUUGGCAACGUAAGGCAUGCGUAUUCAAAGCAAUUCCCGUCAAUUCUCGACAUAAAUUUUCCCGCCAUUUAUGUAUUAUUAUUUGGUUUUUGUCAAUAUAAUUCUUUUAUUACUGUUAUUAGUUUAAUCGGUAUUUUCUAUCGUUUAGUUUAUCAGUUUAAUCAAUUUCCUACGUUAAAUUUGUGAACAGACCAUUUGAAUAGCUUGUGAUGAAGGAUUGCGUAAGGGUGUUAUCAGGUUUUCUUGACUCCGUAACCACUAUCACCAAAGAAGAUACUAAUUCAAUCUUCACAUUCUCUUCUCAUAAAUAUUUAACUGUUUACAGCUAUGAUUUCAAAUUCACUCAAAAAUGUUAAUAUUUGCCUUAUUCUAGGGAAGUAGGUAGGUAAUUUAAAUAAUUUUAGAAGGUAAAUUAGUUUGUAAUUAUUAUUAAAUAAAGUGAUAAUAUGUACCUACAUAAGCAUGGUACAAAUAUAAUUAAUUUAAGAUUUAUUAAUAAAUUAUGUACAUCUAAUUUAAUAAAUUAACAAAAUCGU